CCCAAGGCAUAAGGACCGUAGCUUGGGAAAUCCUAUCUUGCCACGCAAAUCACUCGAAUCCUCCUCCUUUGGAAACUUGAUUAGUUUUGAACAACCAUCAAGCUGAAAGCUCUCAAGAUUUGGCAACUUGUAAAUGCUAGAUGGGAGGUUUGCCAAUUUCUUGCAAUUAAAUAAACCCAAAAUCUUUAAAGAGACAAGAUUUUCUAUGGAUGCAGGAAGUUCCUCAAUUGAAGUCUCAUGUAAAAAAAGUUGUAGCAAGCAUUUCAUUUUAUCCGGAAUAUCAGGGAAUCUUUGCAACUUUGAGCAAUCACUAAGAUCGAGCCAUUCAAGAUUCUUGGGUUGGAGUAUAUUGGGGAGAUGAUGAAGGUUAGAGCAACCUUUUAGAUCCAACCUCCUCAACUUGGUGUGAUAUGCAAUUGAUUCGUGAGCACACUCCAAAUUUUCGCACCAACUGAGAUCCAAUUCCUCGAGAUUUGGACAAAAAUCGAGGUUCGGCAUAUGAACCAUGGACAGACAUUUACUGAAGUAAAGGAACUUCAAAUUUUUUAAGUCCUGCAAGAAAUAUCCACAUGGAAAGAAAAUGAAGAUAAAAUGAAAUAAUGGGGGGAGGGGGGGUGAGGGAGGGAGGGAGAGUCUAACCUCACUACGGACCGAAUCACGAAAUAAUUGGUUAACGUACAAUAUGUCGGAGGGAAUUUUGCUUAGAGACUCACAAUUCCCUGCUUGCAAAUUAAGCAAUUGCUCCGAAACCUUGCCAAUCUCUUGUAGCGUCGGCAUUCCGAAACAUCCAAUUGAAGUAAAUUAUGUAGGUGCCCGCAUGGUGGAAUCUUAGCAAAAUUAUUUUUGGACAAAUUCAAAUUUUGCAAGGAUGAAAAACAUGAAUGAUUCUCUAGGAACUCUACUUCUUGUAGAUUGCAUCGCCCUAGGCAUAAGGACCGUAGCUUGGGAAAUCCUAUCUUGCCACGCAAAUCACUCAAAUCCUCCUCCUCCUUUGGAAACUUGAUUAGUUUUGAACAACCAUCAAGCUGAAAGCUCUCAAGAUUUGGCAACUUGUAAAUGCUAGAUGGGAGGUUUGCCAAUUUCUUGCAAUUAAAUAAACCCAAAAUCUUUAAAGAGACAAGAUUUUCUAUGGAUGCAGGAAGUUCCUCAAUUGAAGUCUCAUGUAAAAAAGGUUGUAGCAAGCAUUUCAUUUUAUCCGGAAUAUCAGGGAAUCUUUGCAACUUUAAGCAAUCACUAAGAUCGAGCCAUUCAAGAUUCUUGGGUUGGAAUAUAUCGGGGAGAUGAUGAAGGUUAGAGCAACCUUUUAGAUCCAACCUCCUCAACUUGGUGUGAUAUGCAAUUGAUUCGUGAGCACGCUCCAAAUUUUCGCACCAACUGAGAUCCAAUUCCUCGAGAUUUGGACAAAAAUCAAGGUUCGGCAUAUGAACCAUGGACAAACAUUUACUGAAGUAAAGGAAC
rnacentral:lncRNA from 1 species